AUGCUUCUCCACUGUUCCGCUGCCUCCGAGGUCUGGUGGAUGGUCGACUCUCUUAAUAUCAACCCUGCCGUGUGCGCCUCCAUAGAAGAUUUACCAGGGCCUCAACCUGGCUGCAAGGUUCACAACACAGUUAUUAUGGCUCUCCUCUGGAGCUUAUGGAAAAGACGAAACGCUAAAGUCUUCAGAAACGAAGAUGAGUCCGCAGGUUUUGUCCUGCGACGUGCUGCCCAAGACAUUUUUCUCUGGUCCAGCAGGUGUGUUAAAGCUACUCGAAAGCAAACUUUGCUCGACUGGGGGAUCCUGUUGUCCCGGCUAGAUGUAGCAUAG
rnacentral:rRNA from 1 species